rnacentral:rRNA from 1 species
ACGAACGCUGGCGGCGUGCUUAACCCCUGCAAGUCGAACGGAAAGGCCCUGCUUGCAGGGUACUCGAGUGGCGAACGGGUGAGUAACACGUGGGUGAUCUGCCCUGCACUUCGGGAUAAGCCUGGGAAACUGGGUCUAAUACCGGAUAGGAGCCAUUUUUAGUGUGAUGGUUGGAAAGUUUUUUCGGUGUAGGAUGAGCUCGCGGCCUAUCAGCUUGUUGGUGGGGUAAUGGCCUACCAAGGCGGCGACGGGUAGCCGGCCUGAGAGGGUGGACGGCCACAUUGGGACUGAGAUACGGCCCAGACUCCUACGGGAGGCAGCAGUGGGGAAUAUUGCACAAUGGGCGCAAGCCUGAUGCAGCGACGCCGCGUGGGGGAUGACGGCCUUCGGGUUGUAAACUCCUUUCGCUAGGGACGAAGCUUUUUGUGACGGUACCUAGAUAAGAAGCACCGGCUAACUACGU